rnacentral:ribozyme from 1 species
UUUGUCGGUCCUUUUUUUUUUUUUUUUUUUUUUUUGGGUUUC